AUGUCGCCUGGAGCAUUGUGUUUAUACCUCACAGCUGCAGCUGUUCUAACGGAACUUUGUCGAGGAGAUUCUGUCUCACAGACACCGGCUUUGAUCGUAGUGAAUGUGGGGGACAGUGUCCAGUUGUUCUGUAAUUAUACUACCAUAAGCAGCACUCCUUACCUGUUCUGGUACCGUCAACAUUCCAGUUGUUCCAUGGAAUUUCUGCUAUGGAGAAGCAAAUUUAGCGGGAACACAGAGAAGUUUCACAGAGACCGGCUAUCCUCAGAGCUCGAUCACGUGAACCACACCAUCAACCUGAAAGUGGUCAAAAUAGAACUGGCAGACCCUGCAGUGUACUACUGCGCACUGAGACCCUCGGAGUCUCAGAACUGGGUUGACCCUGUGCAUACACUGUCAGAGAGUCUCUAA